UCAUACAAUGGAGGUGCAAGGGCUGUCGCUGACCUUUCAAAGGUUGUGCACGCCUAAGUACUUUCAUAUACAUCCAUCUCACCCAUUUGUGCAUCACCGCGUGGGCUCUCUUUGCAGAGAGCUUGCGUUUUCACAUAAAACUUAAUAUAGUGCAGAAUGUUUUUAUUAUUAUUUGCAGUCAUAUGCAAUCAGUA
rnacentral:misc_RNA from 1 species